rnacentral:rRNA from 1 species
AAACGAUAUUGGAAGCUUGCUUCCGAUAGGCGUCGACCGGCGCACGGGUGAGUAACGCGUAUCCAACCUGCCCACCACUUGGGGAUAGCCUUUCGAAAGAAAGAUUAAUACCCAAUGAUAUCUCUAGAAGACAUCUGAAAGAGAUUAAAGAUUUAUCGGUGAUGGAUGGGGAUGCGUCUGAUUAGCUUGUUGGCGGGGUAACGGCCCACCAAGGCAACGAUCAGUAGGGGUUCUGAGAGGAAGGUCCCCCACAUUGGAACUGAGACACGGUCCAAACUCC